AAGUCGUAACAAGGUUUCCGUAGGUGAACCUGCGGAAGGAUCAUUACAGAGUUCAUGCCCUCACGGGUAGAUCUCCCACCCUUUGAGUACUAUACUUUUGUUGCUUUGGCAGGCCGCUUCGGCUACCGGCUUCGGCUGGUAAGUGCCUGCCAGAGGACCCCAAACUCUGAAUUAUAGUGUCGUCUGAGAACUAUAUAAUAGUUAAAACUUUCAACAACGGAUCUCUUGGUUCUG
rnacentral:misc_RNA from 1 species